GGAUUGGAANUGGGCGCAGCCUGAUCCAGCAAUGCCGCGUGAGUGAUGAAGGCCUUCGGGUUGUAAAGCUCUUUCGCACGCGAGGAUGAUGACGCUAGCGUGAGAAGAAGCCCCGGCUAACUUCGUGCCAGCAGCCGCGGUAAUACGAAGGGGGCGAGCGUUGUUCGGAUUUACUGGGCGUAAAGGGCGCGUAGGCGGCGGGCCAAGUCGAGUGUGAAAGCCCCGGGCUCAACCUGGGAAUUGCGCUCGAGACUGGUUUGCUUGAGUUCGGGAGAGGAGCGUGGAAUUCCCAGUGUAGAGGUGAAAUUCGUAGAUAUUGGGAAGAACACCGGUGGCGAAGGCGGCGCUCUGGACCGAGACUGACGCUGAGGCGCGAAAGCGUGGGGAGCAAACAGGAUUAGAUACCCUGGUAGUCCACGCGGUAAACGAUGUGUGCUAGACGUUGGGGAGCCUAGCUCUUCGGUGUCGCCGCUAACGCUUUAAGCACACCGCCUGGGGAGUACGGCCGCAAGGUUAAAACUCAAAAAAAUUGACGGA
rnacentral:rRNA from 1 species